rnacentral:rRNA from 1 species
AGAGUUUGAUUAUGGCUCAGAUUGAACGCUGGCGGCAGGCCUAACACAUGCAAGUCGAACGGUAACAGGAAGCAGCUUGCUGCUUUGCUGACGAGUGGCGGACGGGUGAGUAAUGUCUGGGAAACUGCCUGAUGGAGGGGGAUAACUACUGGAAACGGUAGCUAAUACCGCAUAACGUCGCAAGACCAAAGAGGGGGACCUUAGGGCCUCUUGCCAUCGGAUGUGCCCAGAUGGGAUUAGCUAGUAGGUGGGGUAACGGCUCACCUAGGCGACGAUCCCUAGCUGGUCUGAGAGGAUGACCAGCCACACUGGAACUGAGACACGGUCCAGACUCCUACGGGAGGCAGCAGUGGGGAAUAUUGCACAAUGGGCGCAAGCCUGAUGCAGCCAUGCCGCGUGUAUGAAGAAGGCCUUCGGGUUGUAAAGUACUUUCAGCGGGGAGGAAGGGAGUAAAGUUAAUACCUUUGCUCAUUGACGUUACCCGCAGAAGAAGCACCGGCUAACUCCGUGCCAGCAGCCGCGGUAUACGGAGGGUGCAAGCGUUAAUCGGAAUUACUGGGCGUAAAGCGCACGCAGGCGGUUUGUUAAGUCAGAUGUGAAAUCCCCGGGCUCAACCUGGGAACUGCAUCUGAUACUGGCAAGCUUGAGUCUCGUAGAGGGGGGUAGAAUUCCAGGUGUAGCGGUGAAAUGCGUAGAGAUCUGGAGGAAUACCGGUGGCGAAGGCGGCCCCCUGGACGAAGACUGACGCUCAGGUGCGAAAGCGUGGGGAGCAAACAGGAUUAGAUACCCUGGUAGUCCACGCCGUAAACGAUGUCGACUUGGAGGUUGUGCCCUUGAGGCGUGGCUUCCGGAGCUAACGCGUUAAGUCGACCGCCUGGGGAGUACGGCCGCAAGGUUAAAACUCAAAUGAAUUGACGGGGGCCCGCACAAGCGGUGGAGCAUGUGGUUUAAUUCGAUGCAACGCGAAGAACCUUACCUGGUCUUGACAUCCACGGAAGUUUUCAGAGAUGAGAAUGUGCCUUCGGGAACCGUGAGACAGGUGCUGCAUGGCUGUCGUCAGCUCGUGUUGUGAAAUGUUGGGUUAAGUCCCGCAACGAGCGCAACCCUUAUCCUUUGUUGCCAGCGGUCCGGCCGGGAACUCAAAGGAGACUGCCAGUGAUAAACUGGAGGAAGGUGGGGAUGACGUCAAGUCAUCAUGGCCCUUACGACCAGGGCUACACACGUGCUACAAUGGCGCAUACAAAGAGAAGCGACCUCGCGAGAGCAAGCGGACCUCAUAAAGUGCGUCGUAGUCCGGAUUGGAGUCUGCAACUCGACUCCAUGAAGUCGGAAUCGCUAGUAAUCGUGGAUCAGAAUGCCACGGUGAAUACGUUCCCGGGCCUUGUACACACCGCCCGUCACACCAUGGGAGUGGGUUGCAAAAGAAGUAGGUAGCUUAACCUUCGGGAGGGCGCUUACCACUUUGUGAUUCAUGACUGGGGUGAAGUCGUAACAAGGU